rnacentral:rRNA from 1 species
UACGUAGGUGGCGAGCGUUGUCCGGAUUUACUGGGCGUAAAGAGCGCGCAGGCGGCUGGUCAAGUCCGAUGUGAAAGCUCCCGGCUUAACUGGGAAAUUGCAUCGGAAACUGAUCGGCUGGAAGGUGGGAGAGGGUAGCGGAAUUCCCGGUGUAGUGGUGAAAUGCGUAGAGAUCGGCAGGAACACCCAGGGGGAAACCAGCCGACUGGGCAUCUACUGACGCUGAGGUGCGAGAGCGUGGGGAGCGAACCGG